AAUGUUUUUGUUUUGAUCCGCGGUCAGAGCUCCAAAUCAAAACUAAUAUGUGUGGGCGACGGCAAUCGGGAGAAAGCGGAUCAGGUCUCCGAUUCUCGCCGGAUGCUAGCGGUGAAUGCUGCCGGAAGUUCCGAUCGAUGUGCAUUCGUGUAGUUGUUUUAGUGUUUGGGUCAAGAAUCGGGGGAACCAGAUUCCGGAUUGUAUUACGGCGGUCAGCAACACUAUCUGUGGCAGCAGUUCCGGUACGAUUAAAAUGAGUGGAGCGAUAAGGCGGUGGCAGUCAACGUUCGGCGGAGUGGGUUCUUCUCCCGGACCCAAUUUCACCUCGAAUUUUGAUCGAGCUGUGGAGGAGGCAUUAUAAUCGUUCCCCAGAAACGUAUCAGUCUGCAUGAAAUAAGAAGCCCGUUCCUGAUUUACA